AACGAACGCUGGCGGCAUGCCUAACACAUGCAAGUCGAACGAGACCUUCGGGUCUAGUGGCGCACGGGUGCGUAACGCGUGGGAACCUGCCCUUAGGUUCGGAAUAACUCCCCGAAAGGGGUGCUAAUACCGGAUAAUGUCUUCGGACCAAAGAUUUAUCGACUUUGGAUGGGCCCGCGUUGGAUUAGCUAGUUGGUAGGGUAAAAGCCUACCAAGGGGACGAUCCAUAGCUGGUCUGAGAGGAUGAUCAGCCACACUGGGACUGAGACACGGCCCAGACUCCUACGGGAGGCAGCAGUGGGGAAUAUUGGACAAUGGGCGAAAGCCUGAUCGAGCAAUGCCGCGUGAGUGAUGAAGGCCUUAGGGUUGUAAAGCUCUUUUACCCGGGAUGAUAAUGACAGUACCGGGAGAAUAAGCUCCGGCUAACUCCGUG
rnacentral:rRNA from 1 species